AUUUGCGGAGCUGUUUCCGCCGGGGAGAAGAACUCGCGUGCUUCGUACAGAGGGGAAUGCGGGCUUUGUAGCGCGGCUCGGAGGCGCCGUGGAGCCUCCAGAAGGCGCUCGGGGGAUUCAGAAACCUCUCCCGGGGCUUCCACGGGAGGAGGCUGGCUCCUGGCCCGCACGCGCCCGGGGAUGAGCGAGGCUUGCAGGAGGGCGCUGUGCCCUGGCCUCCCCACCGGCCGUGCACAGGGUUCUGUGCGCAGGCACCGCACGAGGUCAUCCGCUUAAACGGAGUUGUAUUACUCUUUUAUUUUUCUUUUGUUCCACCCAGAAAAUGAAAUGCACAGCCCCCAGCGACUGGACGAAAGCGCAAAAACUCCUUUCUCCCGAGGAGAGUUUCAAGGGACUUCAGCUUGGGUGGCCCAGGUCAUUUGACUGGAAGACUUGUCUGCGUGCACUGAAUGAGAAUCUGGCUCUACUGUGCGCACCCGGACCUGUUGGGUUUGACUCUUGGUUUGCUCUUUUGGGUGCUCGCCGGCUGAGGCCUGCCAUGUGUUUUGGCUGUAAAUAAAUGGAGCUCGGCCUCA